UUUGCUAGCUUUAGCUUUGCAUCCUCUAGCUUCUUUCCCCUUAGGAAAGCUGUCUGAGCUAGAACUUCAUACCAUACCACAUCCAAAACACGUUCAUCCAUUCUAUCAAACACCUUGUGCGCGUUUCAUCCAUUGCAACCUUUCUCCAUUUCCGCUGCCACAUCUGAUCGAGGAGUCUCCUCCAUCUCAACGUGGAGGAUGUUUCCUAUCAUUUGGUAGUCAGAGCCAGCACGUCUACGCGGUUCUCCAUGAGAUAAGUCACAUUUCCUUCAAUAUUCACAUACUGUCAUGUACUGUUCCUUUCUGUCUUUGUUUGAAUUUUUUUUUUUCGUCACUGUUUCGUUUUGAUUUCGUGUUUUUCUGUGGAUAUUUGUUCGUUCACUGAUCCUUAGUAUUUGUAUCACAUUUUAAUCGGUGCAUUUGGUUUAAUUGAGUCAAAUUUAGCUUUCAAAUUCAACUUCCGUUUCUGUCACGUCUUGUGCAAUAAUUGUUGUCGUUUUACAUCUGUAAGCUGUGUUAAAUCUAUUCAGCUCGUGUUUUGUUUGGUUUUGAUUGUGCAAGUGCAAGCUAUAUGUUGAUCUAUAAAGCAAAGUCAAUCAGUCAAGCUUUGAUCAUUGGAGCUACCAAGCAUUGCACUCUGUUUUUGGUUCAAAAUUCUACAGAAAAAUCAUUUCUCAGAUUUGAUUCUCAGAUCUGUUUUACAAUUAGAUUUUUCGUGUUCUAAGCUUUGUCUAAGACUAUUUACUGGUUUGGAACAUGUUCAAAUUGACUGCAGCUCCUGUGCUUUAAUAAAAUGCAAAAUGAGUAUUCAAGUUCUUUAAAAUUUGGUUACUAAUUCUGCAUAAUAAUACUGCUGCUGGUUUGCCAAGCGUUUCUGGUCAUGUUUCUUUGUUGAUGUUAUUCAUAUUUCAAAUGCUGCAAAUGAAUAUUUACAAUUGAAUCUGCAAAAGAGCAUUCCAGUUGCUGCAUAUUACUGUUUUCCCGAGCCUAUACUGUCACAAUUUUGUUUGCCAGCUUUGCACCGUGCUGCUCACUCCUUGCAGUGUUCUAUAUCAUUUCACAGUAGCUAGCUCAUCUUUUCUAAGCUAGAUCUAGUUGUUAGGACUCUCUUAUGGUUUAUUUGAUCCAGCCAGCUUAGCUUCUCCAUUUUUUUUUGUUAAAAUUCUGCUGCAGUUUGCCUUUUACUGCUGUUUAGCAACUAUUUUGCUGCAUAAGUCACAACUCCACCUGUGAUUUUGAGCUUGUGCUUGUUUCUGUGCAUAGUAGUUGUUUGAACAUGUUUAAUUGAACAUUUAAAACUUGUUUGAACUGUCCAAUUACUCUUUACACAGCCAAGGUAUCAUUUCACCUCUUCAACCAUCAUUUUUGCUUAAAAUAUUCAAGUGAACCACUCAUUUUGAGAUCCUGACUGUUUUGGAUAUGUUUCAUGGCUUAGAAAGUCAUUUUUGGUGAAUUGAAAUUGGUUUGUUACUGUUCAUAUGGUAAAUUUUGAGCCAAACUGUUAAAUACUUGUUAAAUCACCAAAUUUUGUUCACUUUUGGCAAGUGCACAAGUCAUAUUUUGCAUUACCUCUUUUCUUGGCUGUUUUAUAACUUUCACAGGUUGAAAUUGAUGAUUAAAACUUGCUGGAAGUAUACUUUCCUCCUUCACACCACUGCCAUUCAUAAUCACUACUGAAACCACCCAUUUUUCUACUCAUUUUGCCACUGCAGUAAACUUUGCUUGGUGUUUGGUAUUUUUAACCAUAGAUAAAAUGCAUUUUGGAUUGGCAAAAGCUGGGUUUCUAUUUCCAUAUACCAUUACGUGAUCCAUAUACCAUAUAUCAUUCAUAAAAAGCAAUUUAAACCCUGCAAUCCACUCAUGAAAAUUCAAAAAUCAGAAAAAUAUCAAAACUGUAGUUCAUUGUGGCAUUUCAUCAAACAGUUUUAAAUUUCCAUCAAACACUUGCAUUGCACAGAAUUCAAUCAAUGUUUUGAGUCUUUUAUUGCUUUUAUAAUCUGUUCUAAAGCCUCUCCUAGGAUCCUUUUGAGUGCCAUCAUUUGUUUCCAGCCAGAAUCAUUAGCAAUUACUUUCAUUGUUAUUUCCAUUCUGCUGCAACGUUAAUGUUCAUUUAAAAAUCUGGUGCAGUAGCAUUUUAUUCACUCACGGUUUGUGGUUUUGUGUGACUUGUGGUGAGGUGGUGCUGCAGUUUCUAACUCCCAGAUGGUUUCUCCAAAGGGGUAGCAUACUAAGGAGUGGAAGCAUUGUUAAAGCAAGCACAAGUUGGGACUUUGAGAGCACCUUUCUUUGCUGUCCAGAAAAACUGUUCCAGCAAUAAAUUUUCAGCAGCAAGCUUUAAAAUUGCAGCAACAUUCAACCUUGAAACAACAACCACACUUGGCUUUCUCAUUUGCACACACCUUUCAUUGUAUUUGUGACUUGGUAUCACGGAACUUUGUGUUAAUUUGUUUCCUUUGCAUUUGCAAAUUAAGGUGGCUUGGAAAAAUGCUUUUCUAGCAAUUCCAAGUACACAAUCAAACAUUGUAAUAGCUUAGUUUCCACAUCUUAGUGUGAAAGUGUGUCAAGGGGCUCAAAGUGUCACUUGCACUUUCACUUAGGGUCGUGUUUCUUCUUCCAUUCAUUUGGCAUCCUUUCUUUAAAUUUUUGUUUGAUUGACUUUCAUGUUUUAAGUCUCCAUGAUACUUAGGAGCGCGUUUCAUAUAGAUAAACCUUCUUUUGGUUUCUAAGUGCAUCUCAUAGUGCAUUCAAAGGAUUUUGAAAGGCUUCUAUCUUGAAACUUGGGUAAGAAACGUCAGGAGACAUUCUGGCUAGGAAGGACAAGGUCUCUAAGACUGUCCAUUGUGACUCACCUCUCCUUCC
rnacentral:lncRNA from 1 species